ACUCAAAUGAAUAGACGGGGGCCCGCACAAGCAGUGGAGUAUGUGGUUUAAUUCGAAGCAACGCGAAGAACCUUACCAGGGCUUGACAUCCCUUGACCGCUGUAGAAAUACAGUUUCCCUUCGGGGCAAGGAGACAGGUGGUGCAUGGUUGUCGUCAGCUCGUGUCGUGAGAUGUUGGGUUAAGUCCCGCAACGAGCGCAACCCCUGUCGUUAGUUGCCAGCACGUAGAGGUGGGCACUCUAGCGAGACUGCCGGUGACAAAUCGGAGGAAGGUGGGGACGACGUCAAAUCAUCAUGCCCCUUAUGUCCUGGGCUACACACGUACUACAAUGGUUGCUACAGAGGGCAGCGAAGCCGCGAGGUGGAGCAAAUCCCUAAAAGCAGCCCCAGUUCGGAUUGCAGGCUGAAACUCGCCUGCAUGAAGUCGGAAUUGCUAGUAAUGGCAGGUCAGCAUACUGCCGUGAAUACGUUCCCGGGCCUUGCACACACCGCCCGU
rnacentral:rRNA from 1 species